rnacentral:lncRNA from 1 species
GGGAAAGGCUGCUGCCAAAAGUGGAGGACUUAAAGCUGGAGGCCGCCCCAAAGACGGGGAAAUGAAGAAAACGCCGUUUCUGGAGCUCCCUGAGGGAAGCAUGAGGAAUUUCACUGCCUUCCAGCAAUUAAAUUGCAUUCAAGAAUUCUACAGUAGCCUUGGUGGUCUGCAACGACAUUUCAGGGAUUAGAUGCUCUAUCUCCUGUCUGCAGACACAUGAGCAGAACCCAGGAUGGAAGAAUGUAAUCACCAGCGUGACUCCAGUGAUGGAGAUGAACUAGAUGUGGAGACUGGGGAGCAGCAGAGUCAAC